CAGCACUGAUCUCCACACUACAUCUACAUUUACCAGUACUAAACCAAAAUGAAAGUUCUCCUAGUCGUUCUCCUAGCCACCGCUGUAGCUUCGCAACUGAUUGCGCCAUUGAUAAGAGUUGAUGAGCCAAUCCCUGGGCGUUAUAUCGUCAAACUCAAGGAAGGACGGAAGUUGGAUGAUGUCGCUUUCAUACUAGAUGGCGCCAAAAUUCUACGCACAUACAAAGAUGUGUUCAGUGGAUUCGCCGCCGAUCUCAGCGAUCAUCUGGUU